CACAUUGAGUAAGCACCUCCUGCACUGGGCUACAGUAAGAGCAGCUUACUGGCACCAUGACCACCUGUAAUCUCUGGGAAAUAAGGCCUCGGGAUCCCUAAAAUGAUUCUAGACAAAUCACUGUCAACUGAAUUUUUAAUGCUCUCAGGGAAGAAGGCCCUGAGAUUUUCUCCCCAUUCUCCUCCCUGAGCAAGUCCCCAGGACACCAAAUGGGUUCUUAUUCAGAGUUAAAGUACCACUCUGUGUCAAAUCGCACACUAAUGCACGCUCCAGUUUCGCCAUCCUGCCUUCCCCCCUCUCUUUUAAGAGGAUGGUGACCACCACUAAUAUGGGCCAGACUGAAGUACUGCAGAAGAAAUGAAAACUUCUUUGAGCCUUGAAGACCAGCUCAGACAAGCUUCUACUUUCACCGGAAGGUGCUGUGGCUCCUGCCUUUUCCAAGGAGGAAGGAACACUGUUGUUAUCAGAGCAUCAAGUUCUCCAUUAUGGUAUAAUUAUUCAAUAAUCUUGAAAGUCUCCGACAGUAAUCUCUGGAA